UGUUCACUUUGUCGGCACAAAUACUAAAAUUUGGAACAAUACAGAGAUUAGCAUGGACCCAGUGCAAGGAUGACGGAUCUGUGAAGCGUUCCAUACUUAA
ensembl:snRNA U6 U6 spliceosomal RNA